UGGGGAAUAUUGGACAAUGGGCGAAAGCCUGAUCCAGCCAUGCCGCGUGUGUGAAGAAGGUCUUCGGAUUGUAAAGCACUUUAAGUUGGGAGGAAGGGCAGUAAAUUAAUACUUUGCUGUUUUGACGUUACCGACAGAAUAAGCACCGGCUAACUCUGUGCCAGCAGCCGCGGUAAUACAGAGGGUGCAAGCGUUAAUCGGAAUUACUGGGCGUAAAGCGCGCGUAGGUGGUUUGUUAAGUUGGAUGUGAAAUCCCCGGGCUCAACCUGGGAACUGCAUCCAAAACUGACAAGCUAGAGUAUGGUAGAGGGUGGUGGAAUUUCCUGUGUAGCGGUGAAAUGCGUAGAUAUAGGAAGGAACACCAGUGGCGAAGGCGACCACCUGGACUGAUACUGACACUGAGGUGCGAAAGCGUGGGGAGCAAACAGGAUUAGAUACCCGGGUAGUCCCUGAGCGGGCUGGCAAGGCGCAU
rnacentral:rRNA from 1 species